rnacentral:rRNA from 1 species
UAGAGUUUGAUCAUGGCUCAGAUUGAACGCUGGCGGCAGGCUUCAGACAUGCAAGUCGUACGCGAAAGCCUUCGGGCGAGUAGAGUGGCGAACGGGUGAGUAACACGUGAGCAACCUGCCUUUGGAUUCGGGAUAACUCCUCGAAAGGGGGGCUAAUACCGGAUAAGACCACGGAGUCGAAUGGCUCAGGGGUAAAAGAUGGCCUCUUCAUGAAAGCUAUCGUCCAAAGAUGGGCUCGCGGUCCAUUAGCUUGUUGGUAGGGUAACGGCCUACCAAGGCCACGAUCCAUAGCUGGUCUGAGAGGAUGAUCAGCCACACUGGAACUGAGACACGGUCCAGACUUCUACGGGAGGCAGCAGUCGGGAAUAUUGGACAAUGGGGGAAACCCUGAUCCAGCCAUGCCGCGUGUGUGAAGAAGGCCUUCGGGUUGUAAAGCACUUUCAGUAGUGAGGAAGGGACCUGGGCGAAUACCCCGGGUUUUUGACGUUAGCUACAGAAGCAGCACCGGCUAACUCCGUGCCAGCAGCCGCGGUAAUACGGAGGGUGCGAGCGUUAAUCGGAAUUACUGGGCGUAAAGCGCGCGUAAGCGGUUUGGUAAGUCGGAUGUGAAAGCCCAGGGCUUAACCUUGAACUGCAUUCGAUACUGCCUGACUAGAGUAUGGUAGAGGGGGGUAGAAUUCCACGUGUAGCGGUGAAAUGCGUAGAGAUGUGGAGGAAUACCGGUGGCGAAGGCGGCCCCCUGGACCAAUACUGACGCUGAGGUGCGAAGGCGUGGGGAGCGAACAGGAUUAGAUACCCUGGUAGUCCACGCGGUAAACGAUGUCAACUAGCCGUUGGGAAUCUCGUUAUUCUUAGUGGCGCAGCUAACGCGAUAAGUUGACCGCCUGGGGAGUACGGUCGCAAGAUUAAAACUCAAAUGAAUUGACGGGGGCCCGCACAAGCGGUGGAGCAUGUGGUUUAAUUCGACGCAACGCGAAAAACCUUACCUGGCCUUGACAUCCCCGGAACCUGCCAGAGAUGGCGGGGUGCCUUCGGGAACCGGGUGACAGGUGCUGCAUGGCUGUCGUCAGCUCGUGUCGUGAGAUGUUGGGUUAAGUCCCGUAACGAGCGCAACCCUUGUCCUUAUUUGCCAGCAACUCGGUUGGGCACUCUAGGGAGACUGCCGGUGACAAGCCGGAGGAAGGUGGGGACGACGUCAAGUCAUCAUGGCCCUUACGGCCAGGGCUACACACGUGCUACAAUGGGGCGUACAAAGGGCUGCAAGCCUGCGAAGGUAAGCCAAUCCUCAAAACGUCUCGUAGUCCGGAUCGCAGUCUGCAACUCGACUGCGUGAAGUCGGAAUCGCUAGUAAUCGUAGAUCAGCAUGCUACGGUGAAUACGUUCCCGGGCCUUGUACACACCGCCCGUA